GUAACCUGGGAACUGCGUUUGAGAAUGGCAAGCUAGAGUCUGUCAGAGGGGGGUAGAAUUCCACGUGUAGCAGUGAAAUGCGUAGAGAUGUGGAGGAAUACCGAUGGCGAAGGCAGCCCCCUGGGAUAAGACUGACGCUCAUGCACGAAAGCGUGGGGAGCAAACAGGAUUAGAUACCCUGGUAGUCCACGCCCUAAACGAUGUCGACUGGUUGUUGGGCAACUUGAUUGCUUAGUAACGAAGCUAACGCGAGAAGUCGACCGCCUGGGGAGUACGGUCGCAAGAUUAAAACUGCAAAGGAAAUUGACGGG
rnacentral:rRNA from 1 species